UACAGAGGUGGCAAGCGUUGUUCGGAAUUACUGGGCGUAAAGGGCGCGUAGGCGGUUUGUUAAGUCGGCUGUGAAAGCCCGGGGCUCAACCCCGGAGGGUCAGCCGAUACUGGCAGACUAGAGUACGGAAGAGGUAGCUGGAAUUCCUGGUGUAGCGGUGAAAUGCGUUGAUAUCAUCAGGAACACCGGUGGCGAAGGCGGCUUUCUGGGUCUUACCUGACGCUGAGGAACGAAAGCC
rnacentral:rRNA from 1 species